CAGAGACUUCAUACCUUUGCUAUUCAAUCCUCACUCCUCACUGACAGAGAUCUUGAUGACAGGAAACACGUCCCCGGUGAGCACAGCUUGAUGGCAGGCUUAAUUGGAGAGUGUCUGAUGCCUGAAGGACUUUCCUGGUUGACAACCUUGAAAAUGGUGAAAGAAAGAAAUUGAAACCAGAUCUCACUGAGUGGGAAGGCCUCACUGAGCUGACCUGUGAAAAAAGACCUACAUGAAGUGAUAAGCAGAUAUCUGGGACAAGCAUUCCAGGCACAGGGAACAGCAUGUGCAAAACCCUGGAGACAAGAGUAUUCCUGGAGUGUGAAAGGACUACAAGUUUUUACUUGGCAAGUGGCAUUUCCCUGGGUGAUCCUGAGACACAGACUUCUUCUGUCUUACCUGCCAUCCCUUGGAUCUUACGUUAUCUGCAUCAAGUGGGCAGAAUGGAAAGAGAAUAGGAAGUUCCGAUCUAGAAGGCACAUUUCUGCACAUAUUCCAAUUGUGAGAACAAGCCACAUGGCCACACUUAGAAGCAAACAAAGCUGGGAAACAUGGUCUCUGGCUGGGCAGCCAGUUAUCAGCAGUAACUCUCUUCAGAUGCUCUUCAACCUACAAUGUGGCUCUGUCCCAAUAAACCCAUUGUAAGUUAAAAAUAUCAUAAAUUGAAACGCAUUUUCUACACCUAACCUACCAAACAACAUAGCUUAGGCUAGCCUACCUCAAA